AUUGAACGCUGGCGGCAGGCCUAACACAUGCAAGUCGAGCGGAGCGGCGGACGGGUGAGUAAUGCCUAGGAAUCUGCCUGGAAGUGGGGGAUAACGUCCGGAAACGGGCGCUAAUACCGCAUAAUAUCAGAUGAGCCUAGGUCGGAUUAGCUAGUUGGUGGGGUAAAGGCCUACCAGGGCUACGAUCCGUAACUGGUCUGAGAGGACAGUCAGUCAGCCUGGAACUGAGACACGGUCCAGGCUCCGACGGUAGGCAGCUGUGGGGAAUGUUGGACAAUGGGCGAAAUCCUGAUCCAGCAAUGCCGCGUGUGUGAAGAAGGUCUUCGUAUUGUAAAGCACUUUAAGUUGGGAGGCGUUACCAACAGAAUAAGCACCGGCUAACUUCGUGCCAGCAGCCGCGGUAAUAC
rnacentral:rRNA from 1 species